UCAAACUUCAUGCAAAGGAGUUUAUUUUCGUUCCAAAAACUUGUCUACUAGAUAACACAUCGGUUCACAUAUAGGAUAAUAAGUUGUUGAUUUGAAUGACGUAUUUUUUUUUAUUCAGAUUUGAAUGAUGAUGUCACUCACUUUUACUUGUAUUAAAAAUCCCAUUUUAUUUUACUUUUUCUCCUAGAUUUUCAUCACGCGUUUAUUUCUUUUUACAUUUUAACUUCAAUCACGCCUUUUCUUACACUUCAAAAUAAGUCUUGCAACCUUAAACCUAUCAACUAGGAACUCUUUACGGAUCUAACUUGAGUUCUAGAUUGAUUUUUCGAGUUCAUUUGCUAAAGGGAUAUAUUUCCACGUCAACGCCCUAAGAAUUCAUAUCAACGGAUUGUAAUUCAAAUCUAAUCAUAGAUCUAUAAUUCAAAUUCUUAAUAAAAGUGAACUCCUAAGAUAAUGAUAUUAUCUACAAUGACCAACACCUUUUAUGCAUUAUUUGAAACUUGGAUCUUUUGUGCUGAUGGCUAGCUGUUGGAACAUGUCUUGAUUCCCUUUAGAGGGAAAUUUAUACAAAUCUUGGCACCAGAUUAAAAGAGGGAACCCUUCAAAGAUGAAUCAAUGUAAGUUUUUUUUCCUGUUCAAUUUUAAAUUGGAAACUUAACUUCUUACGACUUUGCCAAUACUUUUUCCUCUAUCGUAUUUUCUUUCAAGCUUUUUGUUGAUGUUGUUAAAUCGAUACUAAAAUGUUAAUCUUGCGACGGAGUUGGUAAUUUCCUUAGUAAUUUAAUCAUGAUGAAUCAACUACAAAACCCCACCAUAUAACUAUGUUGUGUUGAAUGAUUCUGCUUAUGGCUACUUGAUUAUUGUAAAUUGAAGUUUCACAUUUAUGCUACAUUGGCUGGUUAGUACUUUGUUUUUAUUGGCUUAGUUUUGUGGCUAAUCUGGUACAUGGUUUGGAUCUAUUCUCCGUUUUUUUUUUUGUGCGGAAUUUGCAGCUAUCUUUUGUUGAACUUCUGUUGUUUUGUGUUCUUUAAACUAUUAUGAUGAUCAUUAUGCAUCUGCUACUAGUUUGAAGGAUCCAUAUCCCUGAGUAUGUUGCACAAUGCUUCUGCUACCACUAUAUGCAUGAGAAUGUGUGUGUUAAUCAUCAUCAAAAAAGCAGAUUGUUAAGGUAUUUUAUUUUCAAUUACAGAAUGUACGAGAAGGUGUGUAAUUGAACUUUACAAAUAACAUUUUGAGGUUAAUUUCAUAUUAGAUUGAGUAUUUGUAUUAAUAGUUUAUAUUUAGAUGGCAACUAUAGUCAACAAUUUAGUUAAUGAAGUCGUCGAGUUGCUUAAGCAAUAUGUUUUGUACUUUAUUGUGAAACAACUAAUCUUGUAUGUAAAUGAUGCAGGCGGAAUUCUAGAUAUGAUAAGAAACAAUUUUUGUGAUUUUUGUUUGAUUACUUUGCAAUUUUAUUUAAUUUAAAACUUGCAACUUUUAUAUGCUUAUAUUACUGCAGAAAAUUCAAGUUGGUGACCGUUGAGCGAUAUAUUCAAUCUUUGUUGUUGUUUAUCCCAACAAAAUUAGCUAAAAUUGUUUUCUAGAGAAUGGUUGCGAAUUAGUUACUAAACGGUAACACUUUUAAAGUGUUACGAAUACUACUCUCAGGGUAGCACUUUUUAUCAACUCACUUGGGAUAUGGUCUGAUGAUGUUAGCUUUGAACCUUGGAAUGAGACCUUUGUAUGUGCUCUUCUCAUGUCUCAGGCCUUUGAUUUAUGAUGGGAAUUGACUCCCCAACAAGAUUUGAGGCGCCACAAGAGUGAUGAUUCAUUUGUUGAAGAUAAUAACUGUUCUGGUGAUGGGUCUACUGCAUUAAAAUAUUACUGCUAUAUUAUUUGCAAUUUUUACGGAGGCUCACAAAUUUAUACUCACAAAUCCUAUGCAUUUCAAGGAAUUUACAGUUUUUUUUCCUUCAAGUUUUGUACCUGUUAAAAGUAUGAGAAGGCAAAGAAAUCAUCAAAUGAUAGAGUGAAUAUGAAAGCAAUUCACACUGGAUUAUUGUCA